rnacentral:rRNA from 1 species
GACAGAGGAUGCAAGCGUUAUCCGGAAUGAUUGGGCGUAAAGCGUCUGUAGGUGGCUUUCAAGUCCGCCGUCAAAUCCCAGGGCUCAACCCUGGACAGGCGGUGGAAACUACCAAGCUGGGAGUACGGUAGGGGCAGAGGGAAUUUCCGGUGGAGCGGUGAAAUGCAUUGAGAUCGGAAAGAACACCAACGGCGAAAGCACUCUGCUGGGCCGACACUGACACUGAGAAGACGAAAGCUAGGGGAGCAAAUGGG